UUUAUCUCCCCCAUCCAGCCGCCGUUUUCCCCAUCUUCUUCCUCCUCCUCCUCCUCACAACUCAACUAGCAUCACCGCUGCCGGAGAUUUUCUUCCUCCUCCUCCUCCUCACAACUCAACUAGCAUCACCGCUGCUGGAGAUUAAGAAAGAUAGAAGCAGAAAGUAGCCAUGGCGGCCAAGAACCCCAAGGUCUUCUUCGACAUCCUCAUCGGCCAGGCCAAGGCGGGCCGGGUCAUCAUGGAGCUCUACGCCGACAAGGUGCCCAAGACGGCGGCCAACUUCCGGCAGCUCUGCACGGGCGAGAAGGGCCUGGGCAAGAGCGGCAAGCCGCUCCACUACAAGGGGUCGGCCUUCCACCGCAUCAUCCCGGGCUUCAUGUGCCAGGGCGGCGACUUCACCCGCGGCAACGGCACCGGCGGCGAGUCGGUCUACGGCCAAAAGUUCGCCGACGAGAACUUCCUGCUCCGCCACACGGGCCCCGGGGUCCUCUCCAUGGCCAACGCCGGGCCCGGCACCAACGGCUCCCAGUUCUUCAUCUGCACCGCCAAGACGCCGUGGCUCGACGGCAAGCACGUCGUGUUCGGGCAGGUUGUCGAUGGAUACCGCGUCGUGGAGAAGAUGGAGGCCGUCGGCUCGUCCGGUGGCGCCACCGCCGAGCCCGUCGUCAUCGAGGACUGCGGCCAGCUCCCCGACGGUUCAGUCGGAGGAUGAAGAUGAAGUGGGCGACUAUGAAGAGGUGUUGUAGUGGAGGCCAGAUGCAAGGAUAUGUGCUAGACGGAGGAAACAGCAGCAGCAUCAUCACAGUAGAACAAGUGAUGAUGCCCAGUGUGCUCCAAAUGCACAAUUUUUUUUUAACAACAGAUUAGCGAAGAUUCUAAUAUUGUCGGCGGGCAGGAGGUCGCACAAAGAGCAAGCUGGUCCAUCACCGUUUGGACGUGAGUGAGUUUGCUCUCGGCGACGACAGAGGCGCGGGGACGGAGGAAGAGCCCGGCCUCCGCAACAGCGGCGAUAGUGUAGGGGGGCAAGCAGUAAUUGGGACACCAAGUUGACAAGCAGUAACAUCAGCUGGCUAGUUGCUCUGUGUUUUGUCUCUGUUUGUGUGUUCGUUUCAGUUUUGCACAUACUAGUGAAGCUGCUGCUGUUUAUGUUGGUUUAGGAUUCCAUUUGGUAUCGAAUAUGAUGAUAUGAAGUGAAGGUGUCCCUGACCUGAUCAUGUACGUACUUCACUUGUGGGUUGUCAUGUUGUUUUUGUGCAAAUUAUAUAGUCAAAUGAAUGAAGUUUCAUUUAGG